GAUGAACGCUGGCGGCGUGCCUAAUACAUGCAAGUCGAGCGAACGGACGAGAAGCUUGCUUCUCUGAUGUUAGCGGCGGACGGGUGAGUAACACGUGGAUAACCUACCUAUAAGACUGGGAUAACUUCGGGAAACCGGAGCUAAUACCGGAUAAUAUUUUGAACCGCAUGGUUCAAAAGUGAAAGACGGUCUUGCUGUCACUUAUAGGUGGAUCCGCGCUGCAUUAGCUAGUUGGUAAGGUAACGGCUUACCAAGGCAACGAUGCAUAGCCGACCUGAGAGGGUGAUCGGCCACACUGGAACUGAGACACGGUCCAGACUCCUACGGGGGGCAGCAGUAGGGAAUCUUCCGCAAUGGGCGAAAGCCUGACGGAGCAACGCCGAGUGAGUGAUGAAGGUCUUCGGAUCGUAAAACUCUGUUAUUAGGGAAGAACAUAUGUGUAAGUAACUGUGCACAUCUUGACGGUACCUAAUCAGAAAGCCACGGCUAACUACGUG
rnacentral:rRNA from 1 species